rnacentral:ncRNA from 1 species
UUAAAAUUUAAUUUAGGUUUUCUCGGUUAAAUUUUGCUUUGUUUAUUUAUGUUAAUUUUGAUUUUAAAGAAUUUUGAUUGCAGUUAUUAUUAUUAUAUAUUUAAUAAUUUAAGAUAUAGCAAUAGUGCAUAGUACUGACACAAUUUGUGCCAGCAGUCGCGGUUAUACAGAUAGUGCUAUUUAAUGUUUUCGGUGGAAAGUUAAUUUUUAUUUAAUUUUGAUUGAUUUAAAUUUUAAGGUGAAAUUUAAAUUUGGUGUUAAUGAUUAUUUGAUGAAAUGAAGCUUGGAUAUUUUUGGUAUUAAACUAGGAUUAGAUACCCUAUUAUAAUAAAAUGUUAUAGAAUUACACUGAAUUAGUAAGAGAUAUAAUCUUGAAAAUUAAAUAUUUUGGCGGUAUUUUAAGACCCUUCAGAGGAACCUGUCCUGUAAUCGAUAGUCCACGAUUAUAAUAUAUUUAUCUAUGUGUUUGUAUAUCGUCGUUUUUGAAAAUUUUAAAAAGAUUAAUUUUCAAAGUUUUAUAUUUAAAAAUAAAUCAGAUCAAGGUGCAGCAUUGUUAAGAAGUGAUGGGUUACAUUAUAUUUAUAUUUGGAUUUAUUAUUUAAAAUAUUAGUGAGCAUGGAUUUGAUAGUAAUUUUUUCUAUAUAGGAAAAAUGAUAUGGGCUCUAGAAUAUGCACAUAUCGCCCGUCGCUUUCGUAUAUUUAUGAAAUAAGUCGUAACAUAGUAGACCUAUUGGAAGGUGGGUCUGGAAUGAU